UACGUAGGGGGCGAGCGUUGUCCGGAUUUAUUGGGCGUAAAGAGCUCGUAGGCGGUUUGGUAAGUCGGGUGUGAAAUCUCCACGCUCAACGUGGAGGGGCCACUCGAUACUGCCAUGACUCGAGUCCGGUAGAGGAGUGUGGAAUUCCCGGUGUAGCGGUGAAAUGCGCAGAUAUCGGGAGGAACACCCGUAGCGAAGGCGGUUCUCUGGGACGGUACUGACGCUGAGACGCGAAAGCGUGGGGAGCGAACAGG
rnacentral:rRNA from 1 species